CACUGACAAGUAGCUGUUUGCACUGCGAUAAGCCAGAAUGAGUUAGUAAGCGUGAUCAUUUCACUUUUUAGAAAUUAUAGUGAACGUUUCUAAAGUAUAACCAACAAAUAUUCCUCAUUCAAUUAUUUAGAUCCAGUUGGCUUGCCGAGCAGGGGAAUUUUAAUGCUGGAAACUUAAUCCCUUCCAACAAAAACCGAAACCGAAGCAGGGUUUGAAAUGGCAGACAAUGGCCCUGGAGUGCUCUUCCUCACACUGGCUGUCUCCUCAGCAGGGACCCAUAGGCCACCACAACACCAGGCCCGGGCCUGGUCAGAGAAGAGCAUGGGUGCCGGUCAGUGCGGCGUCCCUCACAGAGAGCCUGGCUCCCUGCGACAAGCCCACAGUUAUCCCCAUUGCUGCGCCUGAGUCAGUGUGGAGACAAGCUCGGGCUAACAGGAAGCUUGGGCUGGGGCAGGAGCCCCCAGGGUGGCCCAUCCCCCACUGUCCCAGGUGGUCCCGUUCAGAGCUUUAAACCAGUCCUUGGAGGCGCGUGAUGUUUGCAAGAACGCCCCCCCAGUUUGCCUUUAAGGGGACGUCCUCCAGUGUGACCCCCAAGCUCCUUUAAGGGAGCUCUCGUUCUCUGCACCCCAGGCUUGCACAGGCCAUGGCACACAGCAGGAUCUUAAUAAAUGCCGAAGUGAAAAAAACC
ensembl:lncRNA